CGCUGCACCACCGGGUCCCGUACGAUCAGCGAAGUUAAGCAGCAUCGAUCCUAAUCAAUACUUAGAUGGGUGACUGCUUGGGAAUACCGGAUGAUGUAA